UCCGCGAUAGCUCAGUCGGUAGAGCAACUGGCUGUUAACCAGUGGGUCGUCGGUUCGAGUCCGACUCGCGGAG
rnacentral:tRNA from 1 species